AGGACACGGAUUUAUCUCACUGCGCCAAACAAAAUUUUCACCAGAGACCACUGAAAUUGAUCAUUGGAGCAAUGUUUAGAAAAGUAGUUUACAGACAGAUGGCGUAAAGGAAGUAUAGGGAAACAGCUUCCACUGGCAAGGAUGUCAUUUUCGAAAAUCCCGGAGGAGAACACUGUAUUUUUUCAAUAAUAUUUACGUUCCUGCUAACUGCUACCUAUAUGUAAGUUUA